GGAAAAGAAAUUCUAAAAUUGCGCUUCCAGCUGCCACCUUCCCUCUCCCCCUGAGAUUCGAGCUUCACUCACUGAGUCACUGACUCGUUUGAUGGCGCCCCCGACCGAAAUCAAAGCUGCUGGCUCCAACGUGGCGGUGCCUUCUGCAUCAUCGUCUCAACCGUUGCGGCCGCCACAACCUUCAUCUGCCUCUUCCUCCUCCUCUGCUCCUCCUCCUCCUUUGCAGUAAGAUUACAAGCAGUGUUUACAAGACCUUGCUAAAAAAUUAAACAUAGUUCUUCCAGAGUAUGAAACAACUCGUGAUAGAUCUUCAGAAGUUCCAAUGUAUAGGUCAACUGUGCUGGUGGAUGGAAUGAGUUUUACCGCUGGGAUCACUUUAUCCACUCGAAAGGCUGCUGAACAAGAUAUUGCCAGAGUUGCUUUUGAGAACCUAUAUAAGAAAGUUAAAGAUCAUGGAUGUGCUCUUGUUUGUGAGGUUUGACAAUACUGCAUUUGCCAAGUCUGCUUUGGAUGAAUUUGCUGCAAAACUGAAUACAAGACCUACUUAUAACACUGUUAAGCUAGAAGGUCCACCUCCUUGUUUUGAAUAUUCUGUGAUCUUUGAUGGCACACAAUACACGGGGGAUACUGCUAAAGACAAAAGCGAGGCUGAGCAGUUAACAGCACGUGCUGUUCUUCUUUCAUUCUAGUUCUUUACAACAGGUGGUGCUAACGCAGCAACACUUUACGGGAUGAUAAAAUCACUAUCUAGAAUUUAUGCAGCAUGCAAAGGAAACAACAUCCAAUGUGUUGUCGCUGGCCUGUAUCAUCCACAGCAACUAUAGGACAUGCUUCUAAUAUGCAGGAUCAUAAAGAUAAUAUAGUUGCAACUACAGUACACGCUUCUGAUCUAGGGGAUCAUAAAGAUAAGAAAGCUGGAACUAAAAGACGUGCUUCUGUUCGGCUGGCCAAUAAAAAUAAGGUAGUUGCAACUACCAGACAUGCUUCUGAUCCGCAAAAUCAUAAAGCUAAGGAAGUUACAACUACAGUACACACUUCUGAUCCACAGAAUCAUAAAAAUAAGAAAGUUGGAACUAUUACACACGCUUUUGUUCCGCAGGACAAUAAAGAUAUAGUUGCAACUACAGGACUUGCUUCUGAUCAGAACCAUAAAAGAUAAGGAAGUUUCUACUUCAGGACAUGCAUUUAAUCCACGGGACCAUAAAAGUAAGGAUAACAAUAAAAAGAGAAUUAAACCUGCUUCUUCCAAAAUGUUUUCCUCAUUUCAGAAGCCUGAAGGUGAACCAUCUCUCGAGGCCAUCAAGCUUCUGAAGCUCUUUCUUCAACCAGGAUGUUCAAAAUGACGGACUUGGCAAGAUACUGGUAAUGGUUCCAAUUCAGAAAAGAGGCAAAAGACUGCUGGAAUCUCCGCUACCAAUGCAGCUGUUCAUUGUUCUGCAGCACGACGAUAAUUUGAACGAGCAAUCAAAUUAUUAUGUUGGAUUGAAGAUCUAGUCUCUCUCUGUACAAAACCUUUGUACUAUGAAAAAAAGUAUUUAGUUUUUAUUUUCCUUUAUCUUUGUUAAGAAUACUAACCUUGUAUUUAUUGGCGUCAAGCUGAGUAGCAAUUGAUGAUGUUAUAGUUAAAUCGCUGAUUAUGUUCG